rnacentral:tRNA from 1 species
UCCUCGGUAGCUCAGUUGGUAGAGCGUCGGACUGUUAAUCCGCAGGUCGUUGGUUCGAGUCCAACCCGAGGAGCCA